UGGGUGUAGCUAAGUGGCAGAGCACCUGCCUGGUGAGCAGGAGGCCCUGGGUUCCAUCCCAGCACUGCAA
rnacentral:tRNA from 1 species